rnacentral:lncRNA from 1 species
CCCUAUUCGUUGAAAGUACUCCAAAUAUUUUUGAGGUCGGUAUAUCUAGCCUUGAAACACUCAACUGGGCUGAUUUCCCCGAGCUGGACGAGGGUGUUGUUAUUAUUGUGAACCCUGCAUGAGGGCGCAGUUGUGCGUCUGGGAGACCCCCUCGGUGACGGAGUCGAGCGCCUUGUGUAGGGAGGAGAGAGCGCGAGAGAGAGGGACACGGAUGGAGGUGGGUGUGAUUAGAAUGCUUAUAAGCUGAGACAAUACGUGAAAACAUUUGAAUAUUUCUAUUUUUUUCGUGCUCUGCAACAGUUUAAGACAUUUUCGUUGCAACUUUAUAUCACUAAAAUUCCGGAAGGGGUCAAUAUCGUUACGUGAACGAUGAUUGUGUGUCUUUAUUGAAGCGAUAGGAUGCUGCGGCGACAGACGUAUGGCUGAACUUAAGCAAGCUAGUCCGCCGUAUGUUGAAAAGAAAGGCCAAUAUAGGUGGUGUGAAUGAAAGAAGAGGGCUUCUCUCUUGGAUGGACAUGUUUUGAGAGGUGUGGUGGAGGGAUGAAGGCGGUGUUGGCAUCCAGGCGGCAGCGGCUCUUCUAUCGGCUCUUCAUGUGUGCUGUCGGGAUCAUCGCAGUCACCUGCUUCGCUCAAAUCCUUCAUGUAACAGCCCAUUCCAAAGAGGAUUCGGACUUGACCUGGGCCCGGCGUAAACUAACCCAGCAGAUCAUAGAGGAGAACCAGACAUCAAGUACACCCAGAGCUGGUGAGUGAAACCCUGAGCAGUUCUCUCUCUUAUUAUUCGCCUGUCUCUCUGUAUCACAUCUCUCCAUAUCUCGCUAUCUUUCCCCUGCCUCCUCAUUCUGUGAAAUGAUGCAGACAGGUGCCCUCUUCAUAGUCAAGCCCCCUUUGAGGCUUGUGUUACUAAGCAACGGAAUCUCUAAUUUCAGAACAGAGGAUAGUCUGUUUUAAGCAUUCAAAGUGUGCC